CAGAAUUUGAAAGAAUGUACCAUGGAUGGAAACAAGACGUGUUCCUGAAGAAAUGUUUUAUUCAACAAAACUUGCCCAACUUGCCCAACUUGAGCAUUUCCCAGCUCUAGUCCAACGUGAAAUUGGAGAAGCCUUAGCAGAGUGUGUAGAGAUCUUCCAGGACAUGCAGCCUUGCUGCAUCGCAAGGGCCUGAGGAGAGAGACGAGGAUGAGGAGGAGCUGUGAGCCUGACUGGCUUUAUUCCAGGGAGGCUGUGAUCAGUUGUGGAGAGAAAGGAGGGGCAUCCUUCCUUUAGGGCUGGCAGGCUCUUUCUGUGCUUCA